GGGGAAUCUUCCGCAAUGGACGAAAGUCUGACGGAGCAACGCCGCGUGAGUGAUGAAGGUCUUCGGAUUGUAAAGCUCUGUUAAUCGGGACGAAAGAGCCUAGUGUGAAUAAUGCUAGGAAGUGACGGUACCGGAAUAGAAAGCCACGGCUAACUACGUGCCAGCAGCCGCGGUAAUACGUAGGUGGCAAGCGUUGUCCGGAAUUAUUGGGCGUAAAGCGCGCGCAGGCGGAUCUGCCAGUCUGUCUUAAAAGUUCGGGGCUUAACCCCGUGAUGGGAUGGAAACUACAGAUCUAGAGUAUCGGAGAGGAAAGUGGAAUUCCUAGUGUAGCGGUGAAAUGCGUAGAUAUUAGGAAGAACACCAGUGGCGAAGGCGACUUUCUGGACGAAAACUGACGCUGAGGCGCGAAAGCCAGGGGAGCGAACG
rnacentral:rRNA from 1 species